rnacentral:rRNA from 2 species
AGAGUUUGAUCCUGGCUCAGAUUGAACGCUGGCGGCAGGCCUAACACAUGCAAGUCGAGCGGAAACGAUGGGAGCUUGCUCCCAGGCGUCGAGCGGCGGACGGGUGAGUAACACGUGGGAAUCUGCCCAUUAGUGGGGGAUAACUCGGGGAAACUCGAGCUAAUACCGCAUAAUCCCUACGGGGGAAAGCAGGGGAUCUUCGGACCUUGCGCUGAUGGAUGAGCCCGCGUCGGAUUAGCUUGUUGGUGGGGUAAUGGCCCACCAAGGCGACGAUCCGUAACUGGUCUGAGAGGAUGGCCAGUCACACCGGGACUGAGACACGAGCCCGGACUCCUACGGGAGGCAGCAGUGGGGAAUCUUGGACAAUGGGCGCAAGCCUGAUCCAGCCAUGCCGCGUGUGUGAAGAAGGCCUUCGGGUUGUAAAGCACUUUCAGUAGGGAGGAAGGCUUCGGGUUAAUACCCUGGAGUACUUGACGUUACCUACAGAAGAAGCACCGGCUAAUUUCGUGCCAGCAGCCGCGGUAAUACGAAAGGUGCGAGCGUUAAUCGGAAUUACUGGGCGUAAAGCGCGCGUAGGCGGUGUGUUAAGUCGGAUGUGAAAGCCCAGGGCUCAACCUUGGAAUUGCAUCCGAUACUGGCACGCUAGAGUGCAGUAGAGGGAGGUGGAAUUUCCGGUGUAGCGGUGAAAUGCGUAGAGAUCGGAAGGAACACCAGUGGCGAAGGCGGCCUCCUGGACUGACACUGACGCUGAGGUGCGAAAGCGUGGGGAGCAAACAGGAUUAGAUACCCUGGUAGUCCACGCCGUAAACGAUGUCUACUAGCCGUUGGGGUCCUUAAUGACUUUGGUGGCGCAGCUAACGCGAUAAG